rnacentral:misc_RNA from 1 species
GUAGGAUAACCCAGCAUGUGAAUGAACAUCAGUUUUGCAAGAUUACGAUGUCUGUAGUCAUGAUCAUUAUCACUGAUUGCAGCUCUGAUAGCAGCACACUCUUUUCUUACUACAGCACGCUCCUCUGCUGCAGUUUUGCUAGCACGGAUAGCCCGAAUCAUGUCCCUAAGACGUGUGCCGGAUGAAAAGGGAUUCAUGAUUGGUUCUGCUUUAAAACUGCGAGAAAGCUCGAUCAGAUCCAGCUGAACAGAUUCUUCAAGUCUUCCCUCUCCAACUUGAUCAACCCCACAAGCAUAAAAAACCAAAAAAAAAGACUAUUUAGGCUGCCAUUAAAGCUGUAAAAAAUUGUUUAUAAAACAUAAAAGGAAGAAUUUGGAUUGGAGAAUGGGUAGAAAUGAAAAUUGAAGGAUCUGAGAAGGAAUCAGUGGUGUUCUUU